GCAUAUCAAUAAGCGGAGGAAAAGAAACCAACAGGGAUUGCCUCAGUAACGGCGAGUGAAGCGGCAACAGCUCAAAUUUGAAAUCUGGCGCAAGCCCGAGUUGUAAUUUGUAGAGGAUGUUUCGGGUGAAGCCACGGUCCAAGUCCCUUGGAACAGGACGUCAUAGAGGGUGAGAACCCCGUACCUGGCCGUCGGUGCCCCCCGCUGUGAAACUCCUUCGACGAGUCGAGUUGUUUGGGAAUGCAGCUCUAAAUUGGUGGUAAAUUCCAUCUAAAGCUAAAUACCGGCCAGAGACCGAUAGCGCACAAGUAGAGUGAUCGAAAGAUGAAAAGCACUUUGAAAAGAGAGUUAAAAAGUACGUGAAAUUGUUGAAAGGGAAGCGCUUGCGGCCAGACUUGCCCGCGGUUGCUCAGCCCGCCUUUUGGCGGGUGCACUCUUCCGCGGUCAGGCCAGCAUCGGUUUGGGCGGCCGGAUAAAGGCGUGGGGAACGUGGCCUCCCUUCGGGGAGGUGUUAUAGCCCCGCGCGCAAUGCGACCAGCCCGGACCGAGGUUCGCGCUUUGCUAGGAUGCUGGCGUAAUGGCCGUAAGCGGCCCGUCUUGAAACACGGACCAAGGAGUCUAACAUCUAUGCGAGUGUUUGGGUGUCAAACCCGUGCGCGUAAUGAAAGUGAACGGAGGUGGGAACCGCAAGGUGCACCAUCGACCGAUCCUGAUGUCUUCGGAAGGAUUUGAGUAAGAGCAUAGCUGUUGGGACCCGAAAGAUGGUGAACUAUGCGUGAAUAGGGUGAAGCCAGAGGAAACUCUGGUGGAGGCUCGCAGCGGUUCUGACGUGCAAAUCGAUCGUCAAAUUUGCGUAUAGGGGGCGAAAGACUAAUCGAACCAUUUAGUAGCUGGGUUCUGCGA
rnacentral:rRNA from 1 species